rnacentral:rRNA from 1 species
CCUACGGGGGGCAGCAGUGGGGAAUAUUGCACAAUGGGGGAAACCCUGAUGCAGCGACGCCGCGUGAGUGAAGAAGUAUUUCGGUACGUAAAGCUCUAUCAGCAGGGAAGAAAAUGACGGUACCUGACUAAGAAGCCCCGGCUAACUACGUGCCAGCAGCCGCGGUAAUACGUAGGGGGCAAGCGUUAUCCGGAUUUACUGGGUGGAAAGGGAGCGGGGACGGCAGCGCAAGGCUGGAGUGAAAUCCCAUGGAUUAACCAUGGAACUGCUUUGGAAACUGUGCAGCUAGCGUGCAGGAGAGGUAAGCGGAAUUCCUAGUGUAGCGGUGAAAUGCGUAGAUAUUAGGAGGAACACCAGUGGCGAAGGCGGCUUACUGGACUGUAACUGACGUUGAGGCUCGAAAGCGUGGGGAGCAAACAGGAUUAGAUACCCUUGUAGUC